AUGAACGCUGGCGGCGUGCCUAAUACAUGCAAGUCGAGCGAACAGACGAGGAGCUUGCUCCUCUGACGUUAGCGGCGGACGGGUGAGUAACACGUGGAUAACCUACCUAUAAGACUGGGAUAACUUCGGGAAACCGGAGCUACUACCGGAUAAUAUAUUGAACCGCAUGGUUCAAUAGUGAAAGACGGUUUUGCUGUCACUUAUAGAUGGAUCCGCGCCGCAUUAGCUAGUUGGUAAGGUAACGGCUUACCAAGGCAACGAUGCGUAGCCGACCUGAGAGGGUGAUCGGCCACACUGGAACUGAGACACGGUCCAGACUCCUACGGGAGGCAGCAGUAGGGAAUCUUCCGCAAUGGGCGAAAGCUUGACGGAGCAACGCCGCGUGAGUGAUGAAGGUCUUCGGAUCGUAAAACUCUGUUAUUAGGGAUGAACAAAUGUGUAAGUAACUAUGCACGUCUUGACGGUACCUAAUCAGAAAGCCACGGCUAACUACGUG
rnacentral:rRNA from 1 species